AUAGCUACAGCAGUACAUAUUCUAAAAUUGGAAUGAUACAGAAAAGAUUAGCAUGGCCUCUGCACAAGGAUAUGCAAAUUCGUGAAGUGUUCUAUACUUUU
rnacentral:snRNA from 1 species